GACGAACGCUGGCGGCGUGCCUAAUACAUGCAAGUCGAACGCUUCUUUCCUCCCGAGUGCUUGCACUCAAUUGGAAAGAGGAGUGGCGGACGGGUGAGUAACACGUGGGUAACCUACCCAUCAGAGGGGGAUAACACUUGGAAACAGGCGCUAAUACCGCAUAACAGUUUAUGCCGCAUGGCAUAAGAGUGAAAGGCGCUUUCGGGUGUCGCUGAUGGUUGGACCCGCGGUGCAUUAGCUAGUUGGUGAGGUAACGGCUCACCAAGGCCACGAUGCAUAGCCGCCCUGAGAGGGUGAUCGGCCACACUGGGACUGUGACACGGCCCAGACUCCUACGGGAGGCAGCAGUAGGGAAUCUUCGGCAAUGGACGAAAGUCUGACCGAGCAACGCCGCGUGAGUGAAGAAGGUUUUCGGAUCGUAAAACUCUGUUGUUAGGGAAGAACAAGGACGUUAGUAACUGAACGUCCCCUGACGGUAUCUAACCAGAAAGCCACGGCUAACUACGUG
rnacentral:rRNA from 1 species